rnacentral:rRNA from 1 species
UACGUAGGGGGCAAGCGUUGUCCGGAUUUAUUGGGCGUAAAGAGCUCGUAGGCGGUUUGGUAAGUCGGGUGUGAAAUCUCCACGCUCAACGUGGAGGGGCCACUCGAUACUGCCAUGACUCGAGUCCGGUAGGGGAGCGUGGAAUUCCUGGUGUAGCGGUGAAAUGCGUAGAGAUCGGGAGGAAGGCCGGUGGCGAAGGCGGCGCUCUGGAACGUUACUGACGCUGAGACACGAAAGCGUGGGGAGCAAACAGG